rnacentral:rRNA from 1 species
CAGUAGCGCGGUAAUACGAAGGGUGCAAGCGUUACUCGGAAUUACUGGGCGUAAAGCGUGCGUAGGUGGUGGUUUAAGUCCGUUGUGAAAGCCCUGGGCUCAACCUGGGAAUUGCAGUGGAUACUGGGUCACUAGAGUGUGGUAGAGGAUAGUGGAAUUUCCGGUGUAGCAGUGAAAUGCGUAGAGAUCGGAAGGAACAUCUGUGGCGAAGGCGACUAUCUGGGCCAACACUGACACUGAGGCACGAAAGCGUGGGGAGCAAACAGGAUUAGAUACCCGCGUAGUCCCUGUCUCUUAUACC